CACAUGCAAGUCGAACGAGAAAGUUCUCUUCGGAGAAUGAGUAGAGUGGCGCACGGGUGAGUAACACGUGGAUAAUCUGUCUUCGGGAACGGGAUAACCAAUCGAAAGGCUGGCUAAUACCGUAUGAAGUUUUUGACUCUUGGGUCAAAAAUGAAAAGGUGCCUCUGAUGCAAGCAUCUGCUUGAAGGUGAGUCCGCGUACCAUUAGCUUGCUGGUGGGGUAAGAGCCUACCAGGGCGACGAUGGUUAGCUGGUCUGAGAGGAUGAUCAGCCACACUGGAACUGAAACACGGUCCAGACUCCUACGGGAGGCAGCAGUGAGGGAUUUUGCGCAAUGGGGGAGACCCUGACGCAGCAACGCCGCGUGAGUGAAGAAGGCCUUUGGGUCGUAAAGCUCUGUCAACAGGGAAGAAGUUACUGUAUAUGAACAGUGUAUGGUAUUGACGGUACCUGUGGAGGAAGCACCGGCUAACUCCGUGCCAGCAGCCGCGGUAACACGGGGGGUGCAAGCGUUAUUCGGAAUUAUUGGGCGUAAAGGGCGCGCAGGCGGUCUUGCCGGUCAGGUGUGAAAGCCCGGGGCUCAACCCCGGAAGAGCAUUUGAAACAGCAAGACUUGAGUACAGGAGAGGAAAGCGGAAUUCCUGGUGUAGAGGUGAAAUUCGUAGAUAUCAGGAGGAACACUCAUGGCGAAGGCAGCUUUCUGGACUGAUACUGACGCUGAGGCGCGAAGGUGUGGGUAGCGAACAGGAUUAGAUACCCUGGUAGUCCACGCUGUAAACGAUGUGCACUAGGUGUUGGGGCGAUGAAGCCUAGGUGCCGAAGCAAACGCGAUAAGUGCACCGCCUGGGGAGUAUGCUCGCAAGGGUGAAACUCAAAGGAAUUGACGGGGGCCCGCACAAGCGGUGGAGCAUGUGGUUUAAUUCGAUGAUACGCGAGGAACCUUACCAGGGUUUGACAUAUGCCGGGAGUCGCGGGAGACCGCGGUGCCUCUUUUGAGGCCGGUAUACAGGUGCUGCAUGGCUGUCGUCAGCUCGUGCUGUGAAGUGUUGGGUUAAGUCCCGCAACGAGCGCAACCCCUACUGUCUGUUGCCAACAGGUGAAGCUGGGGACUCAGACGGAACUGCCGGUGACAAACCGGAGGAAGGUGGGGACGACGUCAAGUCAUCAUGGCCCUUAUGUCCUGGGCUACACACGUGCUACAAUGGCCGGUACAGAGUGAGGCGAAACCGAGAGGUGGAGCAAAUCACAGAAAGCCGGUCUUCAGUUCGGAUCGGAGUCUGAAACCCGACUUCGUGAAGGUGGAAUCGCUAGUAAUCGCGCAUCAGCAUGGCGCGGUGAAUACGUUCCCGGGCCUUGUACACACCGCCCGUCACACCACCCGAGUUGGGGGUACCCGAAGUCGCUAGUCUAACCGGUAACGGGGGACGGCGCCGAAGGUAUGCCUGGUAAGGGGGG
rnacentral:rRNA from 1 species